UACAUCAGUAUGUAGUGAAGAAAUGUGCAUUUCUUAUAUAGUUUGAAGAGUCUUAUUAUGAGACUACCAGUGUCUUAAUAUGCCUACCAGCAUAUCUUGGGGGCUAUUGUUUACUUUAAGAUUAUACUACUAGUCACAGAGACAGGAAGUUCUUUGUUCUUCUCCACCUAUGUUCUGGGAGAAGCAAACCCCAGUCAUUCUGAAUGUCGAAGUGAUGCAGUAAGGUCCGAGUUACAUAACAUUGCAGCAGAAAGUUUUUAGUUAUUUUGUGGAACAAACUACAGGCCCAAUUCGGUAAGAAUACGAUAUCUAUUUCUAUAUAUGUUAUUUGAUAUAUACUAGAAUGCUAGGAUGUAUCUUAAUAUAAUCUCAGUUGAGUUUGGUAGAAUUUUAUAGGAGUUUCGUAAAGAUGAUGUUAGAUGUUGUACCUAGCUUUUAGGAGUAGACAAAGAGAUGAGUGUGUAUAAUGUAUAGUGUAGAAAGCCGAGUUCUUUGUCUUUGUAAGCAGAAGUUACAGUACAUUUUAGUGUUUCAAAGUAGCAAAUAUUCUGCUACUAUGUAGAUGAUAACUUGUUUAUUAUAUAUAGUUCAUGUCGAAUUUAGAGCAAAACUAAGUGUUUAGGAAAGAAACAAUUUUCUUUGUUAGUUAUUUAGCACAGGAACUUAAGUGACGAACCGCAUCUGAAUGCGGCCCUGUUCACACUCAUGUACCUUUGCUUGUGUGUACUGUUUAAUAGUUUACUGCAUAGUUUCAAUGCAGGGUGUGUUCACAUAGAUAUUUAAUCCAGUUUAACUUUAAUCUUGCAUCAUAUAUUAAUGUGUUGUAAUCAGUAUCUUUAAUUUAGCUAUAGGGUUUUUAUAUGCUUACAUGCUGAAACAUUUAUUCAUUAUUUGUUUGUUUGUUUAUUAUCAUUACAGAUUGUUAUCUGAAGGUUUACCGGAGAUAGUAAUUAACCUGAAGGUUGUACCGAAGAUAUGAAAGUGAAGUUACGAGUUGCUGAAUAAACAGAAGUUGGUUGGACUUUAGCAAAUUGUUUCCAGUGUUAAUUUUCAUCGGUGUGCCUUGUGAAUAACAACAGUUGGAUUUAUUGUUAGACGAAACUCCUUCAUAUAAAGAUUUAUGAAGGCAGCCACAAUAACAAUCGAUUGCCUGUUAUUCGAAGUCGAAUAACAAGCGAAGUUCCACAAUAACGAAUGAAGUUCGAAUGACAAUCGAACAGCAAUAAGACUUUUUGCAGCCGUUUAAUGAACUUGUAAGCAGACCUAGGUUUAUAAAGGCCUGAAGUCAUGCCUUUAUCAGAGCCUGCAGUGCAACGUGAAACGACGACAGAGAGGAAUCCCACAUCGAAGGCUAGAAGUCUGGCUGGUGUUAAGUUCACCAAGAGCGAUGUGGAAGCAGGACAACAUGAUGCAGUCAUCAUGAAGGCUACACGUGUAGCGAGCUUACGGAUGUCUAUUGAGAGUAUGAGGUUAGAACUAGCUAUCAUGGACGAGGAGGACAGGCUCGAUGCUCUAAAGGUUGAGCAACUAGAAGAGCUAAUUGCUAAUGAGAAACGAAAGCUCAUACAGCUGAAGCUGAGUCCGCUGAGAAAGAAGCCGGCUGACAAAAUAAAUAGAUUAGAAAGAGAGGAAGAGAGUGACAGCUCUGAAGCUGUCAUCGAACAUGUCAAAUUGCCAAAGGAACAGCCAGGGGAUUCCAUCCAUAGAUUGGCAGUUGGCGCAACAACACCUAUUCUUGAUAGAACUUCUAACCAGACAGGUUUUGAAACGAUGGCAGAGUCCAUGGCCCAUGUGCAACAAAACGUGCUAACGCAGAGACUUGCUGUUGCGAGUCAAGUUCCAAAGUUGGAGAUACCCGUAUUUAGCGGCGUUGCUGACAGUCAUGGAGCCAAGGACUGCACUGAGAGGAAGGUCUGCAAGAUUUGUGAAGGGUGCCCCCUUGCCUGUCUGCAUCAGCCAACCGAGAACCAGAUAAAUCCACCCGAGGAAGCCGCAUCCAAAUACACCAAUGUCUGCGCUCCUCAAGACCAAGAUGAACAGGAGCACUGUAUGAUUGUGCCAGACUGGGUGAGGUGCAAGGAUGAUCAGCGUAAUGUAGGCUUCGUUUCGGACGAACUGUGUGAGCAGUUAGGAGUACAGGGAACUGAUACUACCCUCGGGCUCACCAUCAUGCACGCAACGGCCAACGUCAGGAGCAUGAAGGUGAGCGGUUUGCAGGUGCUGGACUUCAAUAGGGAGAAUGAGAUUGACCUACACCCGUGCUUCUCUAGAGAGUCUAUUCCAGCUAGCAGAACCCAGAUCCCAAGGAGUGAAGGCUUGAAGGAGUGGCCUCAUCUUGAGCCAGUUGCUCAUGAGUUGAUGCCAUACAACAGGAGUGUCAAGGUAUCGCUCUUAAUUGGAAAUAACUGUCCCCGAGCCAUCCGCCCUCGAGAGGUGAUAGCAGGAGGAGAAGAUGACCCGUAUGCCAUUAAGACAGCACUUGGAUGGGAGUAGUUGGCAAUGUCUGCCAGACGUCGGUGCAGGAGGAUGGUGUUCAGAUCUGCAAUAGGAUAUCUGCAAUUGAGAUGCAGCCAGAGUUUGCCUAUGAGAGUAAGGCCAAGGAGAUAAUGGACAUUGAGAAAAGCAUCCAGUUUCCGAAAGAUGGCUUCAAGGACUUAACUGCAGAUGGUGAGCGGUACUCCGUGGAGGAGAUGGGAUUCAAGGAGAUCUUGGAGAGUGGUACCCGCAGAUGUGACAAUGGCCACUAUGAGAUGCCAUUGCCUCCGAAGUUUGCAAAGCCAAACCUUUCCUUCAACAAGCCACUUCCCUUGAAGAGAUGGAAGCAGCUGCCUGGGAGGUUGCGGAAGAACCCAAAUUUGGUGGAGACUACAGAGCAUUCAUGGAUGACGUCAUCCAGAAUUAUGCACCGAGAGUACCUCCAGCAGUUACAGCCCUGUCAGAAGUGGACGCGAAUGCAGCGAGACCUGGCCAUCAGCGAUGUAGUCAUCGUGAAGGAGACUGCAGACGUCCAGUGGCCUCUAGCAAGGGUAGCAGAAGUUUUCCUAGUCAAGACGGACGUGUUAGAAAGGUAAAGCUCCUCAUGACUGAUGGAGCUCUGGACAGUAAUGGUAAACGUCUGAAGAAACCUUGUUACCUUGAUAGACCCGUCCACAAACUUGUGUUACUACUGCCGGUAGAAGCUUAGAAUAAUUGUUCUCUUGUUAAUAACAGAGGUGUAAAAGUAAUUGUGAGCAGUCUUUUUCUUUCUAUUUCUCUUUCUUUCCAAAUCACUUUCUCACUCUAUCCCUUUUUCUAGAUUUCUACCUUUAUCUGAGUUUCAUGACUCUUACGUUUCUUGUUGUCUUAUCUUAUAUUUGCAAACUAGUUUUGUCAUUAUCACGCAGAAGACGGUAGGGAUUCCCCCUCAAGGAGCCUUUAUCUUAUUGUUGUAUAAUAUGUUCCUGAUGUCAGGAGUGUCUUCAUUUAAUGUGUUUACUAAUUUACAAUACAUAUGAUCAUGUAUUCAUGUGGUUAUCAACGGAAGGGGUUGAUUAAGUAUACUUGAUAUACAUCUAAGUUUAACUUUGUGUAUUACACUAAUUGGGAUUGUUUACCAAUCAAGCAGUAUUUGGAGCAUUGAUGGGUAAAGUUGAUUUCUCUUAAUGUUCAUGAAUGUUACAUGAAAGAUCGUUAGAGGUUAAUGUUGUUCCUUGGUAGUAAUAGUAGUGCAGUAUGUCUAUCUAUGUUGUAGCGUAGUCUUAAAUUUGGAUAUUAACAGUUAUUUUAGUAAAUGUUACUAACAUUUAAAGGAGCCAUGUCACUACAUCAGUAUGUAGUGAAGAAAUGUGCAUUUCUUAUAUAGUUUGAAGAGUCUUAUUAUGAGACUACCAGUGUCUUAAUAUGCCUACCAGCAUAUCUUGGGGGCUAUUGUUUACUUUAAGAUUAUACUACUAGUCACAGAGACAGGAAGUUCUUUGUUCUUCUCCACCUAUGUUCUGGGAGAAGCAAACCCCAGUCAUUCUGAAUGUCGAAGUGAUGCAGUAAGGUCCGAGUUACAUAACAUUGCAGCAGAAAGUUUUUAGUUAUUUUGUGGAACAAACUACAGGCCCAAUUCGAUUGUUAUCUGAAGGUUUACCGGAGAUAGUAAUUAACCUGAAGGUUGUACCGAAGAUAUGAAAGUGAAGUUACGAGUUGCUGAAUAAAACAGAAGUUGGUUGGACUUUA